GACGAACCGUGCGAACGUUGUUCGGAAUCACUGGGUUUAAAGGGUGCGUAGGCGGGCAGGUAAGUCCGUGGUGAAAUCUCUGAGCUUAACUCAGAAACUGCCAUGGAUACUAUUUGUCUUGAAUAUUGUGGAGGUAAGCGGAAUAUGUCAUGUAGCGGUGAAAUGCUUAGAUAUGACAUAGAACACCAAUUGCGAAGGCAGCUUACUACACAGUAAUUGACGCUGAGGCACGAAAGCGUGGGGAUCAAACAGG
rnacentral:rRNA from 1 species